CAUUUUUAAAUACUUUUAGUUCACAUUUUUUAAUGUUUAAAAACUAUGUUAACAGAGCAGUUAUAGAACAGAACUUCUUAUAUUUCUUUAUUUACACCACACUCUGAAAAAAAAAACCCAGUUCUAUUUGAUUAACUAUGAAUAGCAAAGUUUUGUGACUUGUGACUCACUUAAAUCACCCAUCUGAAAUUCAUUUACAAGGUUUUUACAUUAAUAAAACAGUAGUGUGGUACAUGUAUUGGACUCAGAUGAAGUCUAAAGUACACUGGACUCUAGAGAGUGGAUUACAUACCAACGACCAAGAUUCAAGUGUUUGGGGAAAAAAAUACCUUAGACAGUCUAUGUUGGCGUCAACACUAAAAUAAAAGGCAAACAUGCAGGACUUUCAAAGCUUGAUUAGAUAAUGGUUCUUUGUUUUCUUUCCUUCAAAUUUGUGCUCAUAAUUAAUAUUCAGGUUCCCUCUCCCCGCUUUCAUAGAUCCCAAAGUUUGAGAAAUGCAGCAAUUCAAUUGUGAAAAAAACAUUCUUCUCCCCAGCUUCUGUUUUCAUAUGUACUGUGUAGUGAACUAUGUUACCUGGGAGAGAAUGUAAAUUUUUCUAAUUCCCAAACAAAACCACUAAUUUCUAGGAAACAUUUAUUGUUUAUAUGCAGAUCCUAGAGACUUCUAUUUCAGUGCAGAUCAACAACUUCAAAAAUAUACAGCCUCCUAUUUAUUUACAAUAAUAUUUACAUACAAAUGAAGUAUUUCCUGCAAUAAGCCUCAGCUGCAUAGAUUCUUCCUUUAAAAACGUAAAUUUGAGCCUGUAUACAGAUGGGCCCAGUUUCAUAGCCCUUCCUUAGAUAAAAGCCUAAAGAAGGAAAAUGUCUGCACCUUGUGAACUUUACAUAUUUUGCAAGAACUUUCUCUUUGAGAUUUAGUGAUAGUUUUUAGUUGUUAGACACCCCACCUUCAGCUUGUACCUGAAAGCUUUAUCUCGUUAUAAAUAAUUCACUGUAAUUUAGGGGAAGUAUGUCCUGUUGCUAAAGGAUUCUCAAACCUGCCAUCCCCAAGGAAAAUCAUGUAUUAGUAUUGCUAAAUGAUGGUCUGUAUAUUCUUUGUUUUGAAGGUGGCUAGAUGUUUGCUGUAAACUUGAAUGGGAGAAUUAUAUUCUUAAAGUUUACACCCCCUAUAAGCCUAAAGCCAUUUAAAUUGAUAAACUGAGAGAGACUAAUAGAUUUUGCUCUAAGGUAUAAAAUCCAUUAUCUGAUCAUAUUCCUGACCUCCCCCCGACUCCAACUAAAUGUGCCAUAGUCCAACACUGUGCCUCACUGAAUUGGAACUCAGUAUUUCAUUCUUUUGAGAGCAGUUUGUAGCUCCUUAAGCAGAGCAGACCUUUCAGUAGAGAAUUCGCUUUAAAAGGAGGACAGGAUUAUCACCACACGAUUAACACAAACACUGGAGAACUUCUGACACAAAUUCAGUAUUUCUUCUAAGUCUGCAUUUACAAAGGGUCUUUUAUUUUAAUUUCUUUCACAACUGCCUCGCCCCAACCAAAGCCUCACUUUCAUUUCCUCACAGCUUUAAAAAAUAAAAUAUUAUCAUGCCUCAGCCCGAGGUAACACCGAGUGCAGGCAGCCUGUGUUUAGGAAUUUGCACCUGCGCUGCUAUUUUCAACGAGAAGGGGAUAACCAGGUGGCAGCGCUGGAUUCACUCACUUUCUUGCCAUUGCAGAGACCCCUGCCGCCAGGCUCCUUUCCUCCCCUCCCUAAAGCCUGGCUCCUGUAUGUUGCACCAUGAGUCCUAGGAAUCAUCUGGUGAGGGAGGACUAAUGGGAAGUAAAAGGGAGACUCAUUGGCUUAGGGUGGUUCUCAAACUUGAUGCGCUUUAGAAUCAUUUGCUGAGUCCCUCCCUGAGAGCUUCUGACUUCACCAUGUCUGGGAGGGGGCUGAGAAUCUGCAUUCUAAUGAGGUCCCCGAUGAUGCUGAUGCUACUGGUCUAGGGGCCACACUUUGAGAACCACUGGCUUAGAGGCAUGAAUCAAGCUCUAGAAAGCAGUCAGUUCCAGGGUAAUAGUCUUAGGUGCUCGCCGAAGCACUGAGGAAUCUUACCACAACCCUGUGUCCACCACAAGCCCUAUCACCAUCACCCAUCUGGGUGCUUCUUUUUCUCAACAGGGUCUGUAACUGUAAAAAAGGAAAGUGGGUGGAGAGGUUUUUUUUUCCCCCUUUUUUCUUGUUUUCUAACCUCCCAGCUUAUUCCUGGAGAGUUAAAACACAGUUACUAGCACUAAAAACAUUAAAAGUGCUGCGCGCUGGCCUCAAUGACUGGUACAUUGGAGAAGCUAUGCAGCAGCAUCCUUUUCUGUGGUGGGCAGGGCAGGAGAUGAACCAUAGGAGCCAAAAGUCAGACAAACAGAAGAAGGCACACCAAGCCUGAACCCUCCGGACAACAGCAGAGUUACCAGCUGAGGGAUGUCCCUGGAGGUUUCUGACCCAUGAGAGGCCCCCUCACCCUCCUUCACCCUCCUCCUACCACCAAGCUCUCCAGCAGUCAUGGACUUAUUCCUCCCCGUUUUUACUGGACACCAUGUUUCAGGCCAAUCUGGUCACCUGUAGUCUGGUGGCAUCUCUACCCCUACUGUCCAGUAGGUGGGAUGUGGCUGGGAUGGACAGUCCAGAUUCUACUAACAGGCAACUCUGAACAAACACCCUCCCUGGAAACAAUAUUAUAUUUGAUGGUUAGAUUCUUUAGCAAACCUAUUACAUUAUUCGAUGUCAGCUAACCUAUUGGUUUGAUCAUCUUUUCCAGCUGCUCUAGGGGCCUAACCACCAUGGAUAACCUGGUCUCUAAAGGAAAAUACAUUCCAGGUUGCAAACAACCAACUGACAACCUUUUGGAAUAUGAUCUCCUUAUACACUGGGGCUGCCUGUGCCUAAACACAGUAGAUUUCCCUCCUGUGCGUAUUUCAUCAGCCCCACUUCCAAUAAGUAACAUUAAGUAAAUUAGGGAUUGACAGUAUUCUGUGUUACAAUAACUAGAGAACAGUUCUAAGUCCAAAGUGUGGAACUGGCACUGUUCACUAGUAUAGAGAUCCUACCUACCAAAGGAAAACGUGCUGCUCCCCAUGCCUAGGGUAUAGUAUUCUUUAAUCUACUAAUUUAGCAGAAAAACUUCCAUAGCACUUGACUGUGCUGUUUAAAUUCGACCUAACAUCUGUGAUACAUGUAUUUUUGGCUACCAAUUAACUAUUCUGAAUAAGAAUAAGAGCAGUAUACUUUACAGCUAAUCUCACACAAAGGAUGUAACUAAUCAGUGAUAUUUGACGAAUUAUGGUAGGGUCUAUUAUAUUCAGUCAACAACAAAUUUAGAGAAACAUACAAAGGUUUUUAAAAAUAUGGGUGGUGUCACACAGAUCAACAACACUGUGCCUCCUCUAAAUAAAUCUAUUUUAAAUAAAUAUUCCUUGUAUUGACACAUGAAACCCAGAGGCCCAAAAAUAUCACUACACAUCCCAGUUAAUGAUAAGGUUCUAAAUUGACUUUGUGAGGGUAAAAUGAAUUGCUAUAAAGUAACAAGGAAAAUAGAAAGUAGCAUAAUAUAGCUUGCAAACUAAAUUAUGUAUUUUUAAAGGUACAGUCAUCCCACUACCUGGCUAUUUCAUUACUUGGUGCUCUAGACAAGCUCCCAAGAACUGACUGGAUCUUGGCUUGUUCUGUUUCUGUCAUUGCUAAUAUAAUAUGGAAAACAUUGCUGAAAAGAACAGAGAUGGCCAUGGAUAUGGCUAGGUUAGGUAUUCAUAUCCAAAUAUCUGAACUCUAACCUAAUGUGGAUAUGAUUCUGUAGCAUUAUAUUAAAAGCUAUGAUGAUGCAAUGCAGGAAAUAACCUUUCAUUCUCCCCCCUAGAGGAUCACGACAGGUGCUUCAAUGCCUGCCUUAUCUAUGGGACAGUAGUGUGAUUCUCAGUGAGAGUGAAGGCCUUUGGGGAUUUGAGUCAGGAAGGGAACAUGGCUAAGUGCCUGGAAACUCUGCCAACAGUCUGCGGUUAGAUUCUACUUGUCUCUGGAUAAGAAAUCUGUGCUCAGUGAACUUAUGUGUUUGGAAAAUUUAACCAGAAUAUAGAGGAAGCAUAAGUCCUGUUUCAAGAGACCAGCUCACGGAGCAUGCACAUUUCUCACCAUAGGCAAGCUAUGGACAAUUCAAUCACAUGGGAUGGCCCCACUUAGGGGAAUGCAGUUCUGGGUUUCCUUGCUAUCCCUAUUCUUUUUCAGCUACAAACUCUCUUCUUUUUCAGUCUCUUCAGUUUCCUUGUGCUCCCUUUAGGAGAGGGACAAGGGUAAGAGUACCAGGCAACUCUGUCCUCCUGCAUGGACAGUUGAGACGGGCAGUAAUGGCACAGUCCUUGGUUGGGGAAGAGAAGAGGAGACAGCACAGACACUGAGACCCCCUUGUCUUCCUCAUCUGGGGGAAGGAAGGUACUCAGUGAUUCUGUCAGAAGCUCUUCACAAAGACUAUCUCUGAGGGUUUUUUUUUUUUUUUUUUCACAAGACUAGAUGGAGAAUUAAUGAAGAAGAAAUAGAAAUGAGGCUUAUUUAAGGUACAAAAUUCUUGUAUUUGUAAUAACCUAGAUUUAUAGAUAUAAAACAAGUCUUUUAAAGACUUCCCUAAAAUACUCAAUAUAAAACAGGAGUUACUUAUCCU
rnacentral:lncRNA from 1 species